rnacentral:rRNA from 1 species
UACGUAGGUGGCAAGCGAUACUCGGAAUCACUAGGCGUAAAGCGCAGGUAGGCGGUUUGGUAAGUCUUUUGUGAAAGCUCCCGGCUUAACUGGGAGAGGUCAAGGGAAACUACCGGACUAGAGUGUGGUAGGGGAUACUGGAAUUCCUGGUGUAGCGGUGAAAUGCGUAGAUAUCAGGAGGAAUACCUAUGGCGAAAGCAGGUAUCUGGGCCAUCACUGACGCUGAGCUGCGAAAGCUAGGGGAGCGAACGGG